GUGACUAUCGGUUUGGAGGAUUAGAAUAAAAUUGGUCAAAUUUUCCAUUGCAUUGCAGGUCUCUGCAUCUGGAAUGACUUUUAGUCUCUUGCUUGUUGCAAUCUCAUUCUAUGUAAAGGAUAUUGUAUCAGAAACUUCUUCCUUGUAUGGGAUAUUGAGCACCUUGUCAGUGGUUGGAGUUAUGACCAUGGUUAUUGCAUUCUCUCUGGGAUUGGGAGCUAUGCCAUGGAUUAUAAUUUCUGAGGUACAUUUCUGUCGUUUUACAUUUUAACAUUAUACUUCUGAAAUGGAGAAUUACAUUAUUGCUUUUGCU